ensembl:lncRNA
UAUUUUUAGGUGUCAUGGUGGGUACAUGUGUUAUACAUGUGUUUAAAUCUGCAAUGACAAAAAGAUUUAAUGAUAAAUCAUUAUUUUAUUUUACUUUCUUAACUCACAUUCUCUUAAACUAACUUUCACUCUGAAACUUGGGCUUGGGCUGAAAGGGGGUCAUUUAUUACAAAUUAUGUAAUUUAUAAUGAAAUAUUUUGUGUUAUACUAUACAAAACACAAAAUAAAAACAUUUUUAAUGAAUGGUCACAGACCUCUGGUCCUCCAUAGUCAGAGAAAAUAUCUUGUGUUAUAGUCCAUCUUAUAUUAUUUGGGCACAGCAAAAGUAGAGAUGCAUAUAAGCAAACCCUCAAAAAUGCACACCCUCACACUGUCUCUUCUACUCUCAUGAUGUCUCCUGCGAUUUUGGCAGAGGGCCGGUGCAUGUUGGCAAUGUGUGGGUUAAGCAGGAAGAGUCAGGGGCUGAGAGCACAUUCGGCUGGAUCCUGUCUACUUGUGUUCCCUGGCAGGGCUGCCGAGCUCGGUGUAUAGAAUCAGUGCACUUGACUGUAUCCAAGCAACCAUUCAUUAAUGUGGCCGACCCUGCAUGGGGCUUUGUGAGUCUCAGUUCAGAGAUGUGUGCUAUAGUCGCCGUACAGAGUAGUUAAGAACCAGUGAUUACCGAAAACAUGUCCCCACAGGAGCUGUGAAGAAAGGCUGGCAUGGUGGCGUUGAGCACAGAUUUCACAGAAUCAGGGUCUUUUAAGCUAUUCUUUAAGGACGACUUUCUGGAAAACAGCCAGGGAAGCCAGGACAACAUAUCACAGGCACCGGAAACACCAGAGACACAGCCCAUCUCACCAGACACAUUAUUCCUCUCUCCAGCAUCUCCACUUCUAUGCUUCUCACAGAAAAUGGAGGAACUGGUGUAUGCUGGGACCAAACUCUCCCACUCUUUUGCUGCAAGCCCCAGUUAUCAACUAAAAAAUGGCAGGCCCCCCAACCACCAAAGCCUGUGGGCCCUGCUCCUGUGAGAGCUCUCCAACCGCUGCCACAACACCAGGGCACAAACCCUCCAUCUGCUGUAGGUGAACCAAAAACAUCUCUCAGUGAUAUGUGUCGGGUUCCUGCUAUAAUAGCAGCAACAUUCACAAAUGUUUACAGAACAAGCAGGAAACCAGUGUGCCUGUAGCUUUCUCUAUUUCUGUUUUAUCACAUGAUAGAAAGUCUAAAGCCUUCUCAAGCAGAAGGGCUUACUCAUCUAAUCUGCGGCCUGUUAUGCAUCCAACUAAGAUUGAUGUAAAGACACAAAGCACUGCCAUCAAGUUAGCAUUUUUAAACAUUCGCUCACUAAAAAAUAAAUAAUUUCUAAUCAAUUACUAAAUAACCA